GAGCUUCGGUUCCUGAGUAAAGCGGCGAACGGGUGCGUAACACGUGGGUGAUCUGUCCUUGAGGUGGGGAUAACUCAGCGAAAGCUGGGCUAAUACCCAAUAAGACCACAGAAAGCAAUUUCCGGGGUCAAAGGGUGCUUUUUUUGGGAGCAUCCGUUUAAGGAGGAGCCCGCGACCUAUCAGCUAGUUGGUAGGGUAAUAGCCUACCAAGGCAAAGACGGGUAGCUGGUCUGAGAGGAUGACCAGCCACACGGGGACUGAGACACGGCCCCGACUCCUACGGGAGGCAGCAGUGGGGAAUAUUGGGCAAUGGGGGAAACCCUGACCCAGCGACGCCGCGUGGGUGAUGAAGGCCUUCGGGUCGUAAAGCCUUGUCAGGAGGAACGAAUGUUUUUAGAGUAAAUAGCUCUAAAAAGUGACGGUACCUCUGAAGGAAGCACCGGCCAACUCCGUGCCAGCAGCCGCGGUAAGACGGAGGGUGCAAGCGUUGCUCGGAAUCAUUGGGCGUAAAGGGUGCGUAGGCGGCUUUUUAAGUCUGACGUGAAAGCCCAGGGCUUAGCCUUGGAAGUGCGCCAGAAACUGGAAGGCUAGAGUGCCGGAGGGGAGAGUGGAAUUCCUGGUGUAGCGGUGAAAUGCGUAGAUAUCAGGAGGAAUACCGGUGGCGAAAGCGACUCUCUGGACGGUAACUGACGCUGAGGCACGAAAGCGUGGGGAGCAAACAGGAUUAGAUACCCUGGUAGUCCACGCUGUAAACGAUGGGCACUAGGUGUCGGGGGUAUCCACUCCCUCGGUGCCGCCGCUAACGCAUUAAGUGCCCCGCCUGGGAAGUACGGCCGCAAGGUUAAA
rnacentral:rRNA from 1 species